rnacentral:rRNA from 1 species
AGUGAACGCUGGCGGUAGGCCUAACACAUGCAAGUCGAACGGCAGCACAGUAAGAGCUUGCUCUUACGGGUGGCGAGUGGCGGACGGGUGAGGAAUACAUCGGAAUCUACUUUUUCGUGGGGGAUAAUGUAGGGAAACUUACGCUAAUACCGCAUACGACCUACGGGUGAAAGCAGGGGAUCUUCGGACCUUGCGCGAUUGAAUGAGCCGAUGUCGGAUUAGCUAGUUGGCGGGGUAAAGGCCCACCAAGGCGACGAUCCGUAGCCGGUCUGAGAGGAUGAUCAGCCACACUGGAACUGAGACACGGUCCAGACUCCUACGGGAGGCGGCAGUGGGGAAUAUUGGACAAUGGGCGCAAGCCUGAUCCAGCCAUACCGCGUGGGUGAAGAAGGCCUUCGGGUUGUAAAGCCCUUUUGUUGGGAAAGAAAAGCAGCAGGUUAAUACCCCGCUGUUCUGACGGUACCCAAAGAAUAAGCACCGGCUAACUUCGUG